rnacentral:rRNA from 2 species
AACGCUGGCGGCGUGCCUAAUACAUGCAAGUCGAACGAGUUCUCGUUGAUAUCGGUGCUUGCACGACGGGUGAGUAACACGUGGGUAACCUGCCCUUAAGUGGGGGAUAACAUUUGGAAACAGUAGCUAAUACCGCAUAGUCCAAGAACCGCAUGGUUCGUUGGCUGAAAGUAGGCUAACUAUCGCUUUGGUAGGACCCGCGCGUAUUAGCUAGUUGGUGAGGUAAUGGUCCACACCAAGGCUAUACAUAGCGUACGAGAGGUUGAUCGGCCACAUUGGGAUGAGACACGGCCCAAACUCCUACGGGAAGCAGCAGUAGGGAAUCUUCCACAAUGGACGCAACGUCUGAUGGAGCAACGCCGCGUGAGUGAAGAAGGCUUUCGAGUCGUAAAACUCUGUUGUUGGAGAAGAAUGGUCGGCAGAGUCAAUGUUGUCGGCGUGACGGUAUCCAACCAGAAAGCCACGGCUAACUA